GAGGGGCGUACGGCGGCGAUGAGGCGGCCGGAGAGGGGCGCACCGUGGCGAGGCAGGUCUCACAGCCGUGCCUUCUCCUCCCUCUCCUCUCUCCGUCUCCACUCCUCUCUCCAUCCCUCUCCUCUCGCGUCUCCCCCUCUCUCUCCCCUCCGAAUCCGGCGACCGGCGAGGCGAGAGCACGGCGGCCGGUGGCGUUGCUACGACGCGGCCGCCGAUGCGCAGAUCUGCCUCCGGGCGGGGCCGCUGGCAGCACGACGAUGAGCAGGGGGCCCCACCAGUCCCAACAUCGGCAAGCUCCCUAGCUCUGGCGCCCACCUCCAGCUCGCCGGAGAUGGUCGGAUUUGGUGGAUCCGGUUCCCCUCUACCUCUCCCGCCCCCUUCUUCUUCCUUAUCCAUGGGAAAAGUUGUUCCUAUGGUUGGAUUGUCUCGCCAGCUUUUGAUGGCGGCGCAGGGAGCGUCCGCGGCGCUCCUUCCUUGGCGGCCGGAGUCGCAGCCGCGGCCGGCCCCGCGGCCCCCCUGGUUGGCUCCUUGGGCGUGGACGCUCAGGCCUCCGCCGUGGCCAACCCUGCAGCCCGUCGCCGUGGCGUAGGUGGUCAGGCCUCGGAAACCUGAAAUGUACAUUGCCCGUGAGUGCAAUGUACACCAUGAUUUCCAUGUGGGUUUACUGGUACUGACUUGUGACUUGCGUGAGAAGCAUUCGAGGUCUUGGAAUCGUCAGACGUAAGCUGACUGAGAGUGGAGAUCCCUUCUCCUUUCUCUAUUCGAUUUUUUUUUCAAUCAAUUAUUUCUUCUUUCUCCUUUCGUUCUGUACAAGAUUCAGGGAUUGGAGUCUGAGCGAGAGCAGCAGGGCCAUUUGAUUCACUGUCAACUCUGUGUGGCCAAGGGUGAGUUGCAAAUGGCGUCUGACUCAUUCAAGAUUGUGUUGGAUGAAGAUGGAAACAAGUUAUGGCAUCAUUUCUCAUAUGCUAAAAUGAUCUGAAAAUAAAUUGGUUAAGCAGCAGAAACUUGCAGGUUUCAGGCUGCAGUGUAUCUGAAGCUAAGCUUCCAGAGUAUCCACAGAAGACUGAAGCAUUGCAUGAACAUUUGCAGGGGCUCAGCAACAAGCAGCAAUCUGCCAAUCUGACAGACCGAGAGCAUGGGUGGAGGCCUCCAGGAGAUGCAGUGCUGGCAUGCCCGUGGAGUGGAGGUCGCCGUGGGGACGCAAACGCCAUAUGGAAUGUAGGUUAGCUGUUUGAGGAAAUGCUCGAGGAUCAAUCGGCGAUUGUGCCAACAAGCUUGCAGUUUAUAAUGAUGGAUAUUUGGAUGGUGGCAAAAAAUCUCAUGCUUUCAUUGCUUGCAGAGGAUGUCAAGCACUUGCAUGCUACAAGCAUUUGUCCCUGGUAGCCGUGCUGUCAUCCUGUCACAGUUUGGGUGGUGGUGAUAUGAUGGUAUGCAACCAGGGUAGCCACUAGCCAGCCAUUAUCAAUCCCAAAUACCAUUUGGAGCAGCCAUGCAGCUAGGAGCAAGGUUGCUUCUGCAACAUCAGCUAUGAAGUUAGUGUUUUUGCAAGAGGUUCAACAGCAGGAUAGCUUGUUUGAUGAAAUGUCUAGGCGAGCAAUGUUACACCGAAGUAGAAGUUGCUAUUGCUUUUACUUGAUGGGUGCCUACCUACUGCCGAUGUUAGGGUUUCAAAAUUUUGGGAAAACUUCGACAUUGGUGUUGGGUACCUGUGUGUUCAUUCUGUUUAUGCUCUUGUUCUUCCAACCUUUGUAAAUAAUUAUAACAUUGCUGGCAGAUGGGUUAUCAUUUUCAAAUGGCACUAUGAAUGUGUUUGUGUAAUCAACAUAAUAACUCUGUUCUUUGUGUGAAAUAUAUAUUUAUUAGUUUGGAUUAUGGAUCAUGUGUUGUUUGGUGUACGUCUAAAAUUUAUCCGUGGCGUUAGCACGGGCACCUUACUAUUACCCCAUAAGGCACCAAACAAGUUUUUCUAAAGCCACCGACCAAAAUGUACCCCGCUGAGAGUAUUGAGAAGCAAUGCACCAAAGAAUUUGUACCCAGAUUUCCUACGACAUUGAAAUCGAUGGCUGAAAAUUCAACUAGACAACCACCAACCCGAUUGGACGGUCCAUGUUAUAUGGAUCCGCUGGCUUCAACGCGCGACCGACCAAUCCCACCUCCACCCCGCGCAGCAAGCCCCUCAACCGGGCAACGUUCGAAUCCCACGAACAACAAAUCUUGCGGCCCUAUUCUGAAAAUCUAGCGCGGCCCUCGCUCCCGCGCGUCUCCUGCAAACCUCGCCGCCAACCUCCCGUGCGAGCCCCGCCCUGCGCCUCCCGCUGAACUGCCGCGCGCCUCCCCUCCACCGGCCUGCGGGCUCGGAGCCGGCGGCCAGAGUGCCGCGCGCUUCCCCUCCACCGGCCUGCGGCCUCGGACGCCGCCUCCGGGACGCGCGCCGCCUGCGGGCUCGGCUGCCGCCGCCGGCGCGCGCGUAGGCGCAGGUUUGGGGCGCCGCCGCUGGCACACGCGCGGGUUGCGGGCUCCACACGACGCCGCCGGCCGCGUCGAGACGACCCUAAACCCCCCUCGCGACCCUAACCUAAUCUGAUUCCCCCCCGAACCCUAACCCCCCUGACCCCCCGUUUCCUUCGCAGGAUCCAGCCGCGGCCGGCGGCUCCGCCGCGACAAGGACGAGCUCCCCUCCGACAGCACCUCCGGCUCCGACUUUAUCGCCGACUCCGAGGACAAGGUGGGAGACGACGACGACAAGGGGUUCGCGCCCGAUGAGGACGCCCCGCCCGCGAUGGCUGCGCCGCCACCCCGCCGAUGCUGAUGCCGGUGGGGGGUGCCGAAUCGGGCGCGGAACUGCGCUCCUCCGCUGCACGCGGUGACCCGCCGCUGCAGGCCCUCAACCAGAUCUAGAAUCGGGAGGGGCGGGGGCGGAGAUCCAGGGCGGGGACGCGCCGUGCUGCCUCGCCUGCCCGCGCAGGAGCCGCGUUGCUCACCCGAGCGCGAGCAGCCGCGUGCCCCCACCCCUCCCGACGGCAGCCGUGUGCAGGCCCAGCCGGCCGCGGCCCUCCGCUGGCCGCGCGGCCGUGCGCAGGCACAUGGUGCCCCGCCACUGCAGCCGCGCCCUUCUGCUUGCCUGCAUGCACGCCCCGCCGGCCACGCGCCCUGCAGCGUGCGCUCCUCCGGGACUCCCGCAGCUGUGUACACGAUAUGGACGGGCUCAACAAGUACUUCGCCGUCCGGGAGACCGGGACUUCCACAGCUGGGUUUUCAUCUUCUCCGCCGUGGGUGACAUGCUGCUCAAGCUGGGAAGCCGGUGCCUCCGGUUAGUCACAGCCAAAGCAGUAUGCGUGGAGCCGCAUCCCAGCAGGCAAGAUGGGGACUUUUCUCUCUGCGUGAGCACCUGCAGCACAAUGGAACGUAUCUGCUCGUGUGAGAAGGUUUAGGUUGUUUAGGAGAAGAGAAGAACACCAAGCAAGCGGCUAAUUGUUAGGGUAACAGCAAUUAGCUCAUUCACCGCAUCGAGCUUGGCUGGUCAUGUACUAAUUAUUUUUCAAAGGGACAUGCUCUUGUGAACAAGUUAGUGGAAGCAUGCAUCAAACCUCGCAAGCUAUGAGCAACAGGAUGCACAUGAAUUUUUUAUCUCCAUACUUGACCAUAUCCAUGAAAAUAUAAAGGAUGAUCAGCACAAGUCACAUGCCCAAGGCCAUGGGACUGUUACAUUGCCCACAAAGUGUUUUCUGGUGCGCAAUGGGGAACGGGGUUUGGCUGAGAGACUUGAUGCUGAUUAAAAGUUAUGCUGUGAACACUGAGAUGAGAGGCAAGAAUCCCUGAAGCAAACGUCCAUUCGCAGGCUUCCAUUAGUUUCCUGCUUUCACAUAAAGAGAUUUGAGCACUGCUGAGCAAAAGUUCAGUUUCAUUUGAUGAUAUUUAUUGGUAGCCUUUUCACAACCUUGACAAAGACAUACAAAGAUGAAGCCAUAUGAAUAUGGAUUCCGUGUGUUAUUGUUGAUAUUCUGUUAUGUUAUGGUCUCACUGGGAAGUUCACUGAUACAGCUACAAGCAGAUUUAUAUUGAUUGCUCUUUGUCUAGCAAUUCUUAAGAUGAUACAUCAAAAUUAAAUGUAUGAUCCCAUAAAGUUGUGAUUUUACUCUAUGCAUAUGGUUGUCCUUUGUGUAAAGCAAAUAUUUUUCAGUUUGAACUAUGGAACAAAUUAUGGAUCAUGUGUUGUUUA